UACGUAGGGUGCGAGCGUUAAUCGGAAUUACUGGGCGUAAAGCGUGCGCAGGCGGUUCGCCGUGUCCGAUGUGAAAGCCCCGGGCUCAACCUGGGAAUGGCAUUGGAAACUGGCGGGCUGGAGUGUGGCAGAGGGGGGUGGAAUUCCACGUGUAGCAGUGAAAUGCGUAGAGAUGUGGAGGAACACCGAUGGCGAAGGCAGCCCCCUGGGCCAACACUGACGCUCAGGCACGAAAGCGUGGGGAGCAAACAGG
rnacentral:rRNA from 1 species